AUAUUUUUAGGUCCUGGAACAGGUUGUGCCAGCCUUGCUGCAUAGCUAGAACUAGGAUAUCGCCAAGCAAGGGAUGCCGUGUGUGCCAACAAUGGUAUAAAGGUUCUUUUGCAUCUUCUCCAUCCUAGGAUAUUUACACCUUCAGCUUCUCUCAACUGCCUACGCGCUCUAGCAUGCUGAGUCCUGAUUGGUUUAGCUAGAGACAAUACAAUUGCACACAUAUUAACAAAGCUUCAGUGUGACUUGCAUCCUAAUAUGGGCCACGUAUAAUCAGAAUCCUUCCUAUCCUCAGUGCAAGCAUCUGUUUCAGUUUCUCAGUGUUCAUCGAUCACCAGAUGGAAGGUGCUCCUAUCAAUUUUAGAGAAGUUCUUCUCCAAGUUUCUGAACUUUCCUGAUGUAAAUAGGAGGUUGAGGAAGAUCAUCUCCAUCCUCUUAAGCGACCGGCCUCCCUGCCCUCAGCUGUAUCUGUACAGCACAACUGACAAGGUCAUUCCAGCUAGGUCGACAGAGUCUUUUAUUCAGGAGUAGAAGAAAUCUGGGACAAAGGUGAAACCGAAUGCAAUGGUUAAGGACACAGCUUUCUUGGGGGCAUCGCUCUCUGAUCAUCUCAAACCUGACUUCAAUCCUCUGAUCAU